rnacentral:misc_RNA from 1 species
UAGCUCAAAUCAAUAUAAAGAAUAAAAAAUGACAAUGGUGUAUGCCCUUCUUAAUCUAUCCAAUCCUUGAGUUGUCUCUGCCAAAAACCAGGGUGGUUGCCCAAUUCACUGCCACGUAAAAUCUGUUCCUCCAACUGACCACUCGUGUAAGAUAUGCAGAGCGCCAGAUUAGCCAACUGAUGAAUCCAGCAAGUGAUAAGCCUUUUGCAUCCUUAGACUGGCGCAGAUCAACCAGUGCCUUGUAACGCCCUACCGAUGCCAUGCUACCCAGAUGCCUGUAGACAAAUGGAUCUCCUAGAGAGAAAUCUUUUGCACUGAAAGCCUUGCCUCCAUUUUGCUUUCCAAUAUUGUUAAACAACUCAACUAGAUAUUUCCCUUGCCUUUCUGCAAC